CCGAUAAUUUCGUGCGCGCGCAUUUUUAAAUAGUUUGUUAUUGUUCAUUGUGCGCAGAAUCGCAUGAAAGGAAGUAAAUUAACAGAUAAAUUAAGAAAGCAUCCUUGAAAGAAACAGUUGUUUACAAUUUUUUUGAUCAUGGAUAAAAUAAACUUAGAACGAAUUCGUACGUGGAGUGAAAAAGCUCUUAAAGAGUAUUUAAUAUUGAGGAAUAAAGAUGUUGAUGGUGAUUUUGAAACUUUGGUUUUCAGAGUGUUUUCUGCCAUUGAAAAUGAAACACCUAUUGAUAAU